UUCGUAGAGGAUAGUUUUAAUGCAUCAGAUCCCAUUAGAAAUUUGCAGUUAAGGGCACUCAAGCUAGAGUAGUAUUGGGAUGGGUGACUUCUCGGGAAGUCAUGGUGUUUUACAUGC
rnacentral:rRNA from 1 species